GCUUGAAUGGACUCUGGCCAGGGAGGUCUUCCUAAGCAUCAUAAGGAAAUGGAGCAGACCUCAAAUGGACUGUUCAACAAAAAAAGAAAGAGGAAGAUGGGCAGGAGGAUUGUACCACUACACCAGUGAUUCUUCAUGAAGUCAAACUGUGAAGAAAUGCUGAAACAUUGUGCAAAAUGCAAAUACCUACCUUUCAGCUCCACAGUGAACAUGAGAAAGUGCAACACUGGAUUUACAAUGAGACGCGCAGGCGCUGUCUAGUGACUCGAUUCUCAACUUGCAUCUGACACUUCACAUUUAUGCACAACCAGUGUGCAGUCUCUCAUUUUUUUCAUAAAUUAAAAAAAAAUUGGUUUUAACAAGAUACUUUGUGAUUGAGUUAUGCCAUUCUCAAAACUUAAAUGUCAUUACUGCUGUUCAUUUCCUCAUCUUUUGAGAAUGCACAUUCAGUUACUUGAACAAGCAAAUGUGUACACUUUAAACUGAGAGCUCCAAGUAAUGUGGGAGAGAUAUGCCUUGAUUUUUGUGAAGAUGACUUUUCAGCUUCCAUAAUUAUUGUAACACUGUUUAUUCAGAAUGAAGUUUUUAGUUAGUCUGGACAUACAUACAUACUUCAGUGUCCCUAGGGGAUGUGUAAUUUCCAAGUCAUUCUCAAAACUUCAAAUUAUCAAUGUUUUAAUACCAAAUAUGCAAAUGCUACUGAAAGCCACUUUUUAGGGGGUUUCAUUUGGAGUCCCCUUUACCAAUAAUUCUUACAUCAUUGCAACAACUGAGGUGUAAGACUAGUCACCCUUUCCACUGUCCUAUCUCAAAAUUUCAUCAUUUAAAAUUUAAGAUUCACAUAAAAGUACAUUUGGCCUUCCUUAUGGAUGAGUUAAUGGAUGUUGCGGGGCACUCCAGAUGUAGUUUGUGACAGAUGUUUUUUCAGUUUGCCACUUCUAGAGUUUGUAGUGUAAGACAUCUGUGCAUUAAUGCAUCCUGCUGUGUGAAAUCUAUGCGACAGCCUUGGAUAAUGGGAAGUAUAUUCCUUAUUGCUGUUUAAAAGCGCCAUGUUUGAUGGUGGUAAUAUUCUAUCAGCCUGGACUGGUAUAUGUGUAGAAAUAAUCUUUCAUUUUAGAAACUGAUUGGCAUUCCUGCCCUUUCCAUCUAUUUGAAUAUGUUAAGUUCUUGUGAACUAUAAAAUAAAAAACAAAAUAAGAUAUA